AGUGGGAUAGCUGGGUCAAAUGGUAAUUCCAUUCCCAGGUUUAUGAGUAAUCUCCAUACUGCUUUCUAGAAUGGUUGCACCAAUUUGCAGUGCCACCAGCAAU
rnacentral:pre_miRNA from 1 species